AUUGAACGCUGGCGGCAUGCUUUACACAUGCAAGUCGAACGGCAGCGGGGGCUUCGGCCUGCCGGCGAGUGGCGAACGGGUGAGUAAUGCAUCGGAACGUGCCCAUGUCGUGGGGGAUAACUACGCGAAAGCGUGGCUAAUACCGCAUACGCCCUGAGGGGGAAAGCGGGGGAUCUUUCGGGACCUCGCGCGAUUGGAGCGGCCGAUGUCGGAUUAGCUAGUUGGUGGGGUAAAGGCUCACCAAGGCGACGAUCCGUAGCUGGUCUGAGAGGAUGAUCAGCCACACUGGGACUGAGACACGGCCCAGACUCCUACGGGAGUCAGCAGUGGGGAAUUUUGGACAAUGGGCGCAAGCCUGAUCCAGCCAUGCCGCGUGAGUGAAGAAGGCCUUCGGGUUGUAAAGCUCUUUCGGCCGGGAAGAAAUCGCAUUCUCUAAUAUAGGAUGUGGAUGACGGUACCGGACUAAGAAGCACCGGCUAACUACGUGCCAGCCGCCGCCGUAAUAC
rnacentral:rRNA from 1 species